UACAGAGGAGCCAAGCGUUGUUCGGAAUUACUGGGCGUAAAGGGCUCGUAGGCGGCCAACUAAGUCAUACGUGAAAUCCCUCAGCUUAACUGGGGAACUGCGUGUGAUACUGGAUGGCUUGGAUUUGGGAGAGGGAUGCGGAAUUCCAGGUGUAGCGGUGAAAUGCGUAGAUAUCUGGAGGAACACCGGUGGCGAAGGCGGCAUCCUGGACCAAUAUUGACGCUGAGGAGCGAAAGCCAGGGGAGCAAACGGG
rnacentral:rRNA from 1 species